CGGCAAAAGCUCAAAUUUGAAAUCUGGCGCCUUCGGUGUCCGAGUUGUAAUUUGAAGAAGGUAACUUUGGAGUUGGCUCUUGUCUAUGUUCCUUGGAACAGGACGUCACAGAGGGUGAGAAUCCCGUGCGAUGAGAUGCCCAAUUCUAUGUAAAGUGCUUUCGAA
rnacentral:rRNA from 1 species